GAUGAAGAACGCAGCGAAAUGCGAUAAGUAAUGUGAAUUGCAGAAUUCAGUGAAUCAUCGAAUCUUUGAACGCACAUUGCGCCCCUUGGUAUUCCGGGGGGCAUGCCUGUUCGAGCGUCAUUAUAACCCUCAAGCCUAGCUUGGUGUUGGAGCAUGCUACCUAAGCAGCUCUUAAAAUCAGUGGCAGUGCCCUUCGGCUCUAAGCGUAGUAACUUCUCUCGCUAUGGAACCCGGAGGGUACGCGCCAGAACCCCCAACUUUCUAUGGUUGACCUCGGAUCAGGUAGGGAUACCCGCUGAACUUAAGCAUAUCAAUAAGCGGAGGA
rnacentral:misc_RNA from 1 species